CGCAUAUUGCGCCCCCUGGUAUGCCUAGGGGCAUGCCUGUUCGAGCGUCAUUAUCACCCCUCAAGCCGUGGCUUGGUGUUGGACUCUCGUUACGGCUCGUCCGUAACUGGUCCUAAAGAUAGUGACGGCGUCCCAGAGGGAACCGGUACGAGGAGCUUUCUCUUAAGCAUGUACGGGGAAGACUCUGUGGGCGACGGUCUUUUUUUACUUUUAUCAAGUGUUGACCUCGGAUCAGGUAGGAAUACCCGCUGAACUUAA
rnacentral:misc_RNA from 1 species